ACCACAGGCGUGUGCCAUCGUGCCCGGCCUGGCACAUUUUGCAUUCCUGUUGGAAGUUAGAGGGAGCCUCCCCUCUGUGUCUCACGAAGUCAUGAGCGAAGAGACCGUGAGCCUCUCCCAAACCCCGCAUGUGCUGACAUCUCCACGUGUGCUGUGUCCUGGGUAGGCUUUCUUCAUAGACCGUGCUUCCGUCUGUCUGGAGUUUCCGCUUCAUCCAUCUGUCCACAGGGAGGACGCACACCCCUGAGUCCGAGGCCACACCACGCAUUCUGUAGAAACUCUCACUGCCCAGGGAGCACACUUUAUUAGGAAAGCUCCAGGUUCACAGAGGCUCUGGGCUCUCUCUGGGCCCGACGCCCUUCACUGUUUGAACUCAGCAGCUGCCUGCAGGUGCGGAGGACAUGCACCUUCCAGCCUUUGUCCUUUCCUGGCCUUCUCGUCAAUCUUACCGUCUGUCGGCCCUAAGUGGAUGCUCGGGUAAGUAAGUCCGUAAGCAAUGAGCAGUUCCUGUCCUUAGCAUGUCUGGGGUCUGUGGCUUUUGCGAAGGCAUCUGCAAAGCUAUUGCUGACAUGGAUGUCAUGAGGUUCUCUCCCUUAUUCCAGAGCUCAGUAAGCCCACAGGGCACAAGGCUCUUGACAUUCACAGCUGAGUGAGAAAGUGGUGAUGUUUAACUAUAAGCAUGAAAAACCCAAAAAGUACAAUAAUAAGGUUUCCAUGUGCAACGCAUGUAUCCAGCGCCCUGGAACGAAACAGACACGUGUGCUCUUUGAGCGGAAGGAAGAUGCAGGUCAGGAAAAAUGGUGAUUCUGCUGUUUCCCAAGUCACCCAGCAGGUGGGGGUGUCUGCUCAUGGAAACCCGCAUUUGCUAGGAUACAAUUUCCCUCUUUCUUUUUCACGAAGGAAAGGUCAAUUCACUCAGAAAUUACAUCCUUAGUGAGAUACCUAUGACUUGUAGGGCCCCAUACACUCAGAACCCCCGCUCCUGGGGGACUGCUGGGUGAACGUGGUCCAACAUGUGUAAUAUUCAUAAGGAAUGGGUGUUACAAGCCCAGCAGGCUGUAUGGCUUUCAUUAAUUUGGCCAGAGUCAUUCACGAAUAGCAGAAUGUUUAAUAUGGAAGCAGCAGCCACCCAAAUAGCAAACACAAUUUGGUAGAGAUGUGGGCUGUUAGCGCCGUGGCAGGGGUGAGGCAGUCUUACCAAGUGCUGAUGGUGAAGUGUGUUGUCAUCUCUUCCUGAACUUAAAUUUGUUACGUGACUCUAAGCAAUUCACUUCCAAUGCCUGGGACUCAGCUAUUUCCUCUCCAAAAUCAAGGGGCUGUACAGAGUGACCUUGGGGUGUUCUCCAGGGCUAACACGGUACCAAUUAUCCCAGUAAGAGGCCAAAGCCGCGGCCAGUUUGCCUGAAAUUCUCCUGUGAGUGGCCCAACAGAAAUAAUCAAAGUGAGUGGAUGGUGUGACAGACACAGAAAGACCUGGGAAGGAAGCUGACCAACUCCCUGGAUACUUAGCCAGGCACAAUCUUCUCAGUUAGAUCUUUAAAUCGAUUGAGAUUUGGCAAAAUUGUUACAAAUCCUGGCAGCAUAUCAACCAAGAUCAUUAUACCCAUUAAGUAACUAAUACUCUAAAACUCUUUGACCCCAAGGAGUGUCAGGAUUGUAGCACUGUGAAGAUGCUGCAGACGAAUUAAGGCUGAUCCCAUCAUCGGGGAUUGUCAAGGUUGUGAGCCAUCAGUGUGUAAUCAUCCAGGGACUCUUAAAAUAUGUGUAUCACUAUAGUCAGGGCUCUGCAGUGAGACAGAACCAAUAGGCUACAUAGGUAGGUAGCUAUAUAGAUAGACAGGUGAUAGAUAGAUAGAUAAUAAUAGAUAAACAGAUAGCUAGCUAGAUGGAUGGAAAGAGGAUAUUCAGUAGGAGAAUGGGCUCAUGUGAUGGUGGAGGUGAGAAGUCCCAGGACAGCCUGUCUUAGAGUAGAUAGAUAGAUAGAUAGAUAGAUAGACAAACAGAUAGCUAACUAGGUGGAUGGAAAGAGGAUAUUCAAUAGGAGCACUGGCUCAUGUGAUGGUGGAGGUGAGAAGUCCCAGGACAGGCUGUCUUAGAGCUGGACACUCUGGGAUGCCGGUCAUGUGACUCAGGACCCGAGUUGCAAGGCCUCAGAGCCAGGGAAGACAAUGGCAUGACUCAGUCCAAGGCUGAAGGCCUGAGAGCCCAGGGCAGGGAGUGCUAGUGCAAGCCCAGAGUCUGAAGGCCAAGAGGCUAGAGUGCUGAUGUCCAAGGGCAGGAGAAGAAGGGUGUCCCAGCUCUAGGAGACAGACACAGCUACCUUUUAGUUCUAUCCGGGAUUGGAUGGUGCCUACCCUGCAUUCAGGCAGGUCUUCCCCCUCAGUCUGCUGACUCACAGCCCAGUCUCCUCCAAAACAGCUCAUCCUCUUAUCCAUCCAUCUAGCUGAGGCUGAGACAAGAUCUCACCGGCCAGCUGGGCCUCCCUCCAGCCAGCCAGGUUGAGGCCUGGUGUUAACCAUCACUAUAUGGCACUACUCCUUCUGGCUAAUCCCAGAGGGCAGAGGUCAUGCAGGCACCGCAUCAAGCCAGGGUUCCUUGUUUUGGUGUCAGCAAGAGGCUCCGAGGUGGAAGGGAAGACCGCUCCCCAGUCAGUGUGUUCCAGUGCAUGGCAGGGCAGCAGCUGGAAGUAGGAGGCCUGUGUUCCCUUCGUGGAAAUGAUCCUGAGGUUGGGCGGCCACCUCCCUUCACUGCCCAGAGCGGGUGCUGAUGUGUUGUGCGUUGCUGCGAUUCCCUGCGUCUCUCCUCACCUGCUGAUGGGAACUCUCAGCAGCUCCUCUGCAGAAGCUGGGUCCUGUCCCUUCCCUGGGUGUUGAUAUGGUUUGGUCUGUGUCCCACCCAGUCUCAUGUGGAAUUGUCACUCCCAGUGUUGGAGGAGGGGCCUGUUGGGAGGCGGUGGGAUCACAGGGUGGGUUCUCAGGAAGGGUCCAGCACCACCCCUCUUGGUCCUGUGCAGUGAGUCCCCUGCCAUCUGGUGGUCUCCAUGUGUGGCUGCCCCUCUGCCUCCCGGCUCCUGGCUCCCAGCCUGUGAUGGGCCUCCUACCCUGCCCCUUCCACCAUGACUGUGUUUCCAGAGGCCUCCCCAGAAGCCGAGCAGAUGGCAGCACCAUGCGUCCUGCACCACCUGCGCAACCCAGAGCCAGUUAAAACUCUUUUCUUUCUAAAUGACCCAGUCUCAGUGGUUCUUUAUGGCAGUGUGAGAACGGGCUGCUUACCGGUGUGAUAAGGGCAAUUUGUGAAAUUUGCCAGGAUAUUUUUAAUAUUGUUUUAAUUAUGAAAUCAUUCAUGAGUUUUAUUUUAAUAUUGUUUUAAUUAUGAAAUCAUGAGUUUUACAUGAACAAAACUAAGAGUUUGGGAACACACAGAACAGGAUGGCCUGGCACCUAGGGAAAACAACAGUCUGGUAUUUUUGGG
rnacentral:lncRNA from 1 species